rnacentral:rRNA from 1 species
GAGCGCACAGUUUACUGUGAGCGGCAGACGGGUGAGUAACGCGUGGGAAUCUACCCAAAUCUAAGGAAUAACACAGAGAAAUUUGUGCUAAUACCUUAUAGUUCCUAAGGGAUAAAGAUUUAUCGGAUUUGGAUGAGCCCGCGUUGGAUUAGCUAGUUGGUAGGGUAAAAGCCUACCAAGGCGACGAUCCAUAGCUGGUCUGAGAGGAUGAUCAGCCACACUGGGACUGAGACACGGCCCAG